rnacentral:lncRNA from 1 species
CAGAGCCGUGGUUUAUUGUGUCUAAAAUUUAUUUACAAAAUAUUUUAAUAUUAUAUUUGAAGGGUUCAAACUAUAAUAGAUGUGCCUUGUGCAAUAGUCAAAUCGUUUGAAUGUUUAUAUUAUUUUUUUGUGGAUAAAAAUAUGUAUUCAUGUAACUAUUGAGAUCGUUCAUAAUUUGAAUUUGAAAUUUUGUAUUAGAUACAUCGGGAAUCUAUAAUAUGUUACAUGAUUCUAUUGUUAUUUUUUAAUUGUUAUUAGUUCAUGAGAUGUUAAUUAAUAAUAAUAUUCUAGCAUGAAUUCUUAUUAUGAGAUAAUAUUUUUUUUUAUUUGUUAUUAGUUCAUGAGAUGUUAAUUAAUAAUAAUAUUCUAGCAUGAAUUCUUUCUAUGUGAUAGGUAAGAUAAAUAUGUUAGAUGAUGUUGAAUUUUUUGUUUUAUGCCAUGUGCUUGCUCAUUAUAUAAUUUUGAAUUAUUUAUUACAUAUGAUGUAAAUUAAUUUAGGGCUAAGCAUGUAGACAGUUGAACUAAAUUCACUUGCUAUAAAAGAUUCGAUCUUCGUGUUAUUAAAAAUUGUUUUUGUAAUAAUUCCCUCUUAUUAAAAUUUGAGUUCUUAAAUAAUACAAUAUAAGAUAUUUUAUUAUAAAGCUAUCCAUCAAGGUAAUUAAUUUUACUUACUUCUUGUUU